CAUAUGCAGUUUGUUACCGGUAGAUGGCCCCUGCCUGACCCCCGUUACACGCUGGUGGUAUAAUAAAGAAACCAAGAACUGUUCCAAAUUCAUCUACAGCGGUUGUUGGGGGAACAAUAACAACUUCGAAACUGAAUCUAUGUGCAUGGGCACCUGCCAUAAAAACAACUGAUCCCUCUGGAUGAGAUAACCAGGAGCCACAGGACCUCCAGGGUUCAGCUCGUCGUGGUCCAGGGCUCUCUCCGUGUGUGCCUUACAGAUGUUCCAUGUCGGCUGCCACCAGCCAAAUCUCAGCCUCCAAAACCUUGGCAGGUCCAAAACCAGGAUUUGCUUACUCCGUUUCCUUCAGCUUGGCUUCUCUUCAAACAUAAUGCCCUACCCCCUUUGACCUCUUCUCAGUGUGAGACCCUAUCUCUUCAACUUUCAUGGCCCCCAUUUAUCCCUUUGAAGCCUCCAGUUCCCCCUAAUAAAGUGCUCUGUGAGGUCUGGUC